UACGUAGGGGGCUAGCGUUGUCCGGAUUUCUUGGGCGUAAAGAGCGUGUAGGCGGCCGUGCAAGUCUGGCGUGAAAGCCCCGGGCUCAGCCCGGGAAGUGCGCUCGAAACUGCGCGGCUCGAGUGCCGGAGGGGAGAGUGGAAUUCCUGGUGUAGCGGUGAAAUGCGUAGAUAUCAGGAGGAAUACCGGUGGCGAAGGCGACUACCUGGCCUGUUCUUGACGCUGAGGCGCGAAAGCUAGGGGAGCAAACGGG
rnacentral:rRNA from 1 species